rnacentral:rRNA from 1 species
UCCUACGGGACGCAGCAGUGGGGGAUAUUGCACAAUGGGGGCAACCCUGAUGCAGCGACGCCGCGUGAGCGAUGGAGUACUUCGGUAUGUAAAGCUCUGUCAGCAGGGAAGAGAAUGACGGUACCUGACCAAGAAGCCCCGGCUAAAUACGUGCCAGCAGCCGCGGUAAUACGUAUGGGGCAAGCGUUAUCCGGAUUUACUGGGUGUAAAGGGAGCGUAGGCGGUCCGUUAAGUCAGCGGUAAAAUUGCGGGGCUCAACCCCGUCGAGCCGUUGAAACUGGCAGACUUGAGUUGGCGAGAAGUAC